GCUGUAGCUGCAAGCAGCGCUUCAUGACGUCACCGGCGCUGUUGUUAAGCAACCUGGCCGCUGUCGCCCAGCAACCAAUACGUUUCACCAGAACUGAGCGCCCACGCAAUGAAAGAGCUCGAAACGGGCCGACAGCAGCGAAUGCUUUGGCGAAAUACGCAAAUCUACGUAAGAAACAAAGAGCAACAACAGCUAAACGAAUUUCUGGCAGGAGAUUUCGAGAUGAAAAUUGUGAGGUUUGGCAUUUACUAUGCCAAGUAUAUGUACAUCGUGCCAUAGUAUAUGGCCUAUAGUUAUGCAUAGUUUUCCGCAUGUUCUUUGUGAUUUUUCCUCACCUCAGUCCCGUUACGGUCUUGGCACAAUUAGCGCAACCUUGCCAACGUUUAAAUAUACCAAAUAACAUUUGGCAACGCCUUAUCUGCCACAGCGACGAGAACAGAAUGCAAACAAGAGAGAGAGAGAGAGAGGGGGGUAAAUAUGAAAUACUAUUCGAUUUAAAUAGGUUUUUUUUUUUUUGACUGUUUGUAAUUUACAAGCUAAUUACAUUAUUUUUCGUCUUUAUUGCUGUGGCACGUGUUGGCAACAGAAUUGUAUACCAUGUGCUCUCCCGCUUCCUCUCACUCUCGCGCUGUUGAGCUUUGGCACUCAUAUGUUUUUUGUUAUGGGAAAUUUCAUGUCAAAAGCUUUCUCUUUUUCGUAUGUUCGUUUUGGGCUAUUUACAUGCAUGAAAUAUGGCUAGUUCCUUAGAAUCUGCUUAGCAGUUUCUGUUUUCAAGGGUUAAUAGUACUUUAAGCAUCAUUUUUUUUUUUCUUUGCAUUGAUAAGAAUCAAGGCACAUUUAAGAGUGCCUGGUAAAUUAAGUGUUUAGAUUAGGCUUGUAAAUCUAAUAAAUCGCAAUCUUAUCGAUGUACAUUGAGAGCCACUUCUGUAGCCAAGUUUCGCCGAAUACUCUGAAACCCGAUAGCAACAGCAGCUGGGGCAUGGACACGUGACAGCCUGCUUUGCAACAUGCGGCACUAUUUGCAAAGCUUUUACACGCAACUCGACGAGGAGGCGCUUAUGAAAAUGAGGGGCGGACAUCGUAGGGGUUAAAUUUGUAGAUGAGUCAGCUGCCAAUUGCAUAUAUCAAUUUCCUGUUUAUGUGCGCAAUAUAUGUAGAAGAUAUCAAAUAUAUUUAGCAGCGAGUGAAGCCUACUAUAGUUUCAAGUGGGUUAUAAAACAAGUUCGACGAUUCUAUGUAGCUAUAAACUAAAUUCUUAGCUCAUA